AAAUUGAAGAGUUUGAUCAUGGCUCAGAUUGAACGCUGGCGGCAGGCCUAACACAUGCAAGUCGAGCGGUAGCACAGAGAGCUUGCUCUCGGGUGACGAGCGGCGGACGGGUGAGUAAUGUCUGGGAAACUGCCUGAUGGAGGGGGAUAACUACUGGAAACGGUAGCUAAUACCGCAUAACGUCGCAAGACCAAAGUGGGGGACCUUCGGGCCUCAUGCCAUCAGAUGUGCCCAGAUGGGAUUAGCUAGUAGGUGGGGUAAUGGCUCACCUAGGCGACGAUCCCUAGCUGGUCUGAGAGGAUGACCAGCCACACUGGAACUGAGACACGGUCCAGACUCCUACGGGAGGCAGCAGUGGGGAAUAUUGCACAAUGGGCGCAAGCCUGAUGCAGCCAUGCCGCGUGUGUGAAGAAGGCCUUCGGGUUGUAAAGCACUUUCAGCGGGGAGGAAGGCGGUGAGGUUAAUAACCUCACCGAUUGACGUUACCCGCAGAAGAAGCACCGGCUAACUCCGUGCCAGCAGCCGCGGUAAUACGGAGGGUGCAAGCGUUAAUCGGAAUUACUGGGCGUAAAGCGCACGCAGGCGGUCUGUCAAGUCGGAUGUGAAAUCCCCGGGCUUAACCUGGGAACUGCAUUCGAAACUGGCAGGCUAGAGUCUUGUAGAGGGGGGUAGAAUUCCAGGUGUAGCGGUGAAAUGCGUAGAGAUCUGGAGGAAUACCGGUGGCGAAGGCGGCCCCCUGGACAAAGACUGACGCUCAGGUGCGAAAGCGUGGGGAGCAAACAGGAUUAGAUACCCUGGUAGUCCACGCCGUAAACGAUGUCGAUUUGGAGGUUGUGCCCUUGAGGCGUGGCUUCCGGAGCUAACGCGUUAAAUCGACCGCCUGGGGAGUACGGCCGCAAGGUUAAAACUCAAAUGAAUUGACGGGGGCCCGCACAAGCGGUGGAGCAUGUGGUUUAAUUCGAUGCAACGCGAAGAACCUUACCUGGUCUUGACAUCCACAGAACUUAGCAGAGAUGCUUUGGUGCCUUCGGGAACUGUGAGACAGGUGCUGCAUGGCUGUCGUCAGCUCGUGUUGUGAAAUGUUGGGUUAAGUCCCGCAACGAGCGCAACCCUUAUCCUUUGUUGCCAGCGGUYCGGCCGGGAACUCAAAGGAGACUGCCAGUGAUAAACUGGAGGAAGGUGGGGAUGACGUCAAGUCAUCAUGGCCCUUACGACCAGGGCUACACACGUGCUACAAUGGCAUAUACAAAGAGAAGCGACCUCGCGAGAGCAAGCGGACCUCAUAAAGUAUGUCGUAGUCCGGAUUGGAGUCUGCAACUCGACUCCAUGAAGUCGGAAUCGCUAGUAAUCGUAGAUCAGAAUGCUACGGUGAAUACGUUCCCGGGCCUUGUACACACCGCCCGUCACACCAUGGGAGUGGGUUGCAAAAGAAGUAGGUAGCUUAACCUUCGGGAGGGCGCUUACCACUUUGUGAUUCAUGACUGGGGUGAAGUCGUAACAAGGUAACCGUAGGGGAACCUGCGGUUGGAUCACCUCCUUA
rnacentral:rRNA from 1 species